CGAAAACUGAACCUGGCGCCAAAUGAAAGCUCUCAGUCUCUGCAACUCCAGAAUUCAAAGUUUCUUUUCUCCAUUUCUUUCCUCAAAUAAAGAUAUUUAUAUUUAAGGUCAGUAAAAUCGAGGGAAAAAAAUCAAUGGAGAAUUCGAAAAUUUUCAGCGUCCGAAUUGUGUCGAUCGAUUACUACAUGGCACCGCCGAUACCUAACUUCGAUAUUUGUUACAGUAGCUUUCAAGGUGGGAAGGUCAACGAGGUUCCUGUUAUAAGGGCUUAUGGCUCAACACCUGCUGGUCAGAAGACUUGCUUGCAUGUUCAUAGGGCUUUUCCAUAUUUGUAUGUCCCCUGUUCAGAUAUACCACUUCAUCCAGAUCAAGAAGGAGAUUCCUACACAAAUGCAAUUUCUCUUGCCCUUGAGAAAGCCUUAAAGCUUAAAGGUAAUGCUGGUUCAAAAAGACAACAUGUGCAUGGCUGCAGUCUUGUGCGAGCAAGGAAAUUUUACGGAUACCACUCAUCAGAAGAGUUGUUUGUCAAGAUAUACCUCUAUAAUCCUCAUGAUGUCUCUCGUGCUGCCAAACUUCUUCUGGGAGGGGCAGUUCUUGAUAAAAGCUUGCAGCCUUAUGAAUCUCAUAUUCCUUUCAUUCUCCAAUUUCUGAUUGACUACAACUUGUAUGGAAUGGGUCAUGUGCAUUUAUCAAAAAUGAAGUUCCGUCAUCCAGUACCUGAUGUUUGUACACUCAGAAAAUUUAUCAGGAAUUGGCAACAUGGACUAGAGAUGGAAAAUUUCACUUGCAUGUCUACUGAUUUUCAGGUUUGAGUGGUGAUGAGUCUUUGGAUUCUCCAGUUUGGAUAUCUUCUACCAUUCCAGGUGAUUGGAUGUGGCAGUUUUCUAGUGAAUUUGAGGUGUCAUCGGAGCAAGGCAUUUACCACAUUAAACGCCAAAGCAUUUGUGAACUUGAGGGAGAUACUACUAUAGAUGAGAUUCUCAAUCAGCAAUUUAAAACAUAUACAUCCCUCUCACAAACUUGUUCAGAUAUGAAAAUGGUGCAAUCACUUAUACCCAUUUGGGAGGAAGAGUGUGAAAGGAGUGGGUUGCAUGAGAUAGCUAAACCACCUGAUCCUGGAAAACCACUUGCUGAGGAUGUUUUGAAAACACUGUUACAUGAUCUUGAGUUUGAGAGAAAACUUAAAGAGUUUUAUGGUAAAUCUGAAGGCCUACCUUCAUUUGGGAACAUUGUAAAAUUUCAGCAGUCAUCAAUGUCUACUGAUGAAGAAAAUUUGGCUGAACAUGAAAAAAUAAGUUCUGAUAAUGCCAAUGAACAAUCUUUAAAGUGUUCCACAGAAAGAGACACUAUUGGUUCUUCAUCACUAUUGGGUUCUCCAUUUGAAGAUCAGUUGGACACGACUCCUGUGGAAAGGAAAGAUGCAUGCCCAGAAUUAUUGUCUGUCAGUGACCUACAAUCUUCUGAAACAAUUGGAACAUUGGAUGCAAAGACUGCAGAUGCUGAAGCUUUGAGCCUUCUAAAGUGGCUUGUCACUUCUCAGGCUGCUGAAGAUAUAAACUCUGAUGAUGAACUUAUUCAUGAGACAAUUCUAAGUCCACUUUUGCCUGCAACAACAAUUGAUCAGGUGCUGGAGAAAGCGAAUAUGGAUUAUGAGAGUGAGUCGCAAAAAGAGUGUCAGGACAUUCUUGAUUCGAUUGAGGAUUUAGAUGACAUGGAGGGUUUCAAGGAGAGAACUUUUCAUUCUAUCGGUUGCAGGAAUCAUAAUCAAACUUUGUCAGAGAUUCCUCAUGCAGAUGGUUUGGUCUCAUCCUCUUCCAGAUCUUCUGGAAAUUUAUCAAAGAUAGGGAUGAAAGAGGAUUCCAAAAGUUAUUUUCAAGACCAGGUAUUGCAGACAACUGGCACACAUUUCACUAGUAAGCGCAAAAGGAAGAAGUCAUUAUGGGGCUUUUUACCUUUCUCCAUGACCCAAAAGAGGAAUGAUGACUUAGAAGCUGUUGGGUCCAAUACAGCUGAUGCCUGUAUUGGUCAAGAUAAAAAUUGUGACACUAUGUCCAUCAUCAGAAAUGAGGGGGAAAAACAUUCUGAUGUUCUAUUGAAAACUUUGGAUGCAGAUGUUUGUGAAGUAGGUGACUUAGUUGGAUGCUCAGUUCGAGACUUAAUGAGAAGAAAGAGAUGCCACCGAAUUGCUCAGCAGGAUUGUGAUAAUUUUGGGGUUAAAAAAGUUCAUUCAGGAGGAGAGUAUGAACAAGAAAAUGUAAUCUUGCCAAAUAAAUUGGGCAUACUUGCAUUACAUGAUGAUGAGCAUGACAAAAAACCUCUUGGGUUUACCAGUUUUGGACCUUCAGUUACUGAUAAACAAACAGUAUUAUCAGAGGUUCAUGAUUUUAAAUCUUUUCAUCCAAGUUGUCACUCAUACAUAGCUGUACCCUUUGUAUCCAGGGAUAGUGCGUUGCAGGUUAGUACUCAUCGCUCUCCAGUGGAUACAAGAAAGAAAGAAUUACAAUGUCUCUAUAUGUCUGACAAGCAAAAUUCUGCAACUGCCAUGGGCCAUUGUGAAACUAAUAAUGAUAAAGAGUUAGACAAGGAAGGUGUGAUCUUUACAGAAGCCCUAACUUCUAAUCUUUACAAUUCCAAGCCUGAUUUAUCGUCAGGCAGUUUGUUGUCUAAGGAUGUAAAUUUGGUUGAUAAGAGGUUGGAGCAAAAUGAAGCAGCUGGCUUAUACAGUUUGACAGCUUCUCUUAUUGAGCAUGAGACUUUUUCAAGAGAUGAUUAUGAGUAUAAACGUUGCCACAAAGGCAGCAAGACAAUGGGACAGCUAUAUGAAAUUCCUAGUGCAAAUCCUGUGGGCAUGUAUGCGUCAGCAGACACCACUGUUCCACUGAAUAAGAAUUGUUGUUCCACUAAACACGGAGGGGGUUCUGGUUUCUCUGUACAUGACAGCUCCAUAUUUGACGGAAGACCUGGAAGCUUAAUUGGCAUGACCCUCAACAAGAAACCCCCCAUUGUGGACUGGGAAGAUGGAACAUCUGAAAAUACUUCAGCUCUAUCUUAUCACGCUUCUCUACUCAAUGAGGACAACAAACAUGGAAAUUCAGGGAAUGCAUUGGAGGAAUUUCUCCCAUUUUUUGAAGGGGAUUUUCAAGAGGAGAAAGUAGUUCAGAAUGAGCCCCUUCCUGAUGUUGACUCAAAUGUACGGCAAGAAUCUGUCUUGGGUGUCCCAACUCACUAUCAAAAUGAUGGCUCACUCUUGUAUCUUUUGACUCCUGUUUAUUUGCCACCUUCUGUAGAUUGUGUGUGUAGAUGGUUAGCGUGUGAUCAUGAAGGUACUUCAGGAGAGAUCAAUGUAUGGUCAACAAAGUCUUUGGCUAUUAAAGGUUCAAAAGGCUCUUCACCUGUUUAUGGUAAUAAUGUCCCCAUUGAAUUGGAUUCUGUAUCUCAUUUGAUGCCUGUACAAGAUCGAGUGCAACAAGAAAUGCAUCAAAAUGUUAAUUCAGAAUUUCACCCUAAUCAUGAUGAGAUUCAAAGACCACUGCACAAUGAAGGAAACAAUGCAAAACAGAAUGCUGGCAUGGGUUGCGCACUAGAUUUAUCUCAAAUUUCAGGCCCAAAUGGGAGAUCAAAGCCUACUCCCCUCAGUCAAAUUGGAUUUCGUGAUCCUGCUAGCAUUGGUGCUGGGCAGCAACUAACCUUAUUAAGUAUAGAGGUAACGGCAGAUGCAGGGUUUCACCACACAUCUUUUUGCUUUUAUUAUUUUCACAUUUCUAUUAACCUUUGGCCUUUGGGAGAUGAGCUUUUAGUUAACAACACAAGCCUUGAUGAAACUGCUACAGUAUUAUUAAAGGCGCUGGGCUAGGCGCGCCUCAGUUCCAAGAGGUGAGCGCCUCUCUUGCCAAGGUUCAAGCAGAAACUAGAGGAGAUCUCAGACCAGAUCCUCGGUUUGAUGCUGUCAAUGUUGUUGCUCUUGCCUUUCAGAAUGACAAUGAUUCUGCUGUUGAAGUUUUUGUUCUCUUGCAUAGUAAUGGGGAAUGUUACAAGAGGAGUUCUGAUGGAAUAUCUGUAAAUAAGGCGGUUUAUUUCUCUGAGGAGAAGCACUUGUUUGGCCAUUUUACAAGGAUUGUAGGUUUAUUUGAUCCAGAUAUUUUAAUGGGCUGGGAUAUUCAAGGUGGUUCUCUUGGGUUUUUGGCUGAGAGGGCUGCACAUCUUGGUAUUGGCUUACUUAAUAACAUUUCUCGCACACCAUUAGAAGCCAACAUAGGAAACAGAGAAACAGAAAGUGCUGAUAAUGGAGUACUGGAUACUGUGCUGCAUGAAUCUUUACUUGCAGAUUCUGGUUUGGUAGACCAAGCAGUAAUUGAGGAUGAAUGGGGUCGAACUCAUGCCAGUGGUGUCCAUGUUGGUGGUAGAGUUGUCCUUAACAUAUGGAGACUGAUGCGUGGUGAAGUUAAGCUGAACAUGUAUACAGUUGAAGCUGUUGGUGAAGCUGUUUUGAGGCGAAAAAUCCCAUUAAUUCCAUACAGAGCAUUGACAAAAUGGUUUUCGAGUGGUCCUGGACGAGCGAGGUAUAGAUGUAUCGAGUAUGUGAUACAGAGAGCGAAGUUGAACCUUGAAAUAAUGAAUCAACUUGAUAUGGUAAAUCGGACUUCAGAGCUUGCUCGUGUAUUUGGCAUUGACUUUUUUUCUGUUCUCUCACGAGGUUCUCAAUAUCGUGUUGAAUCUAUGUUUCUGAGACUAGCGCAUACACAGAACUAUCUUGCCAUUUCUCCUGGGAAUCAACAGGUUGCUUCUCAACCUGCAAUGGAGUGCUUACCUCUAGUGAUGGAGCCAGAAUCUGGCUUUUAUGGUGAUCCAGUUAUCGUCCUGGAUUUCCAGUCUCUUUAUCCAUCAAUGAUAAUUGCAUACAACCUUUGCUUUUGUACUUGUCUUGGAAAUGUUACACGUUCGAAGGAAAAUACACUAGGGGUUAGUUCAUUUUCACCAGAUCCACAUGUUCUGAGGGAUUUGAAAGAUAAAAUACUGCUUACUCCAAAUGGUGUUAU
rnacentral:misc_RNA from 1 species